AGUGACCUGCGGAGGAUCAUUA
rnacentral:rRNA from 6 species